CUGGCUGACGGGGGCGGGAGGGGGUGGGGUGGUGGGAACCGGCCACGCCGGGAAAGGUGCAGUAGGCGCACACAAUUGACUGAAGAGGACAGCUGAGACUUAUACGGAGGAUUCCACCUACGUCUCCAGCCAGCCUUACGGUUCUCCCACUGCUGCUCAACACUAAGGGCCCUGGGAGAGCGGGUGCGGGCGGCUGAGCUCUGCCCGCAUCCCACCUCUCACGCAGCCGCGGAGUGGACUCGGCCUGGGAACCCUUGUAAUCCAAUUGCGGGAGGAGGUGCCAGGAAUGACCCCUCCACCGUGGGCUGUGGGCGUGGUGGGAGGAUCAUUUCACCCCAGGACAAGGGUGAGCCCUUAGGAAGCUGGAAUAGAUACUUCGAAGCCCGAGAUGACCACUGUCCACGGCAGCCUCAGUCCCUUUCUCCCAGAACAUCAUUUAGCUGUUGAGCUAAAUCAUCCACUUGGCCCCUUACAGCCUCGACCUCGUCACAAUGAAGUAGAUGAGGCCACAGAAGCCUUUGUUAUCUCCACGAGCAGCUGGAGCCCGGCUUUGGCUGAGCCCUGGCAAUGCCUGCUACACCCCAGACCAAGGUGAUACGUGGGUGGCUGCUGCGAUCGGAAUGUUUACACCCCCCCACCGCCAUAUUCAUCUGUUGAAAUCCUCACCCGCAAGACAGAAGACAACCAGCAUCUAUGAACCAGGAAGCCCCCACCAGGCACUGAAUCUGCCCCUGCGUGGAUCUUAGACUUGCAGACUCCAGAACUAACCUUACAAUGUCUCUUCUCCAUUAAGAAAACCUACUUCAACAUCUCCAUUGGUUCUCAACAUAGAGGUCCAAAUUUUGGUCUGGAGCCAGAGACAAUAUAGGAUGAAGUUUGAUUUGUUCCAAAACCCACAGAAAUCUCUAAAAUGGAAGAAUUUUCUUAGAACCAAAAGGCAUGGAAUUGAUGACAUGAAACUGCCUGAGCUUCUCAGCUGACCUGUGAUGGAGUGUUGUGCCCAAGUGGAAAGUUCUUCUUUCUUUCAGAGACAUAUCAUUCACCAUAAAAUACAACCAGAGACUUCAAAAUUACUCCAGGCUAGAAGGACACUCCAAUUAGGGGAAAAGUAACCUAUGGGCAAACCAUCUUCCGUAAGAGUUCAAGGACAAAAAACUACUGAUGUUGUAAUAACAUUGAAACUUAAUGUUUUGGGCAAUCCUUAAGUGAUUUAUUUGGAGUGUCCCAGUCAUUUUAGACCUCUUCACCUUACAAUGUAUUGUGUGAGAUUAUAUUUCCAUGCACCUAAUUUUAAAAUAAAUUUAUUUAGGUAGAUGUAGAGACAUAUUACUGUGAUAAAGCAGUUCAUACCAAAUAAAAUUUAGCUAAUAA